AGUAUUUCCAUGACAUCCCAAGCCAUGAGGUUCAUGCUGCCAUAUCCCCCUGUUUAACAAGUGUGGAAACUGAUAAUGGACUCACAAUUGCUGAUGUAUAGGUUCUAAUGUUUUCUAUUGUGGACACGGGACACCCAGACUGAGAACCAAUGGCUCCAGUCUGAUUUAAACAUGGGUCCGUGCUCACACACUCAAUACCUACCCUCUGUGCUCACAAGUCCUGUGUGAGUAAGACUCCAAAUUAUUCUGUCUUGUUUUACUCAAUGGUAUGCUCUACCUUAUUAUAGAGUAUACCAUGUAUUGAGACAAGAAUGCCAGUCAUUCUGAGAAACAAAAUGCAACCAUUAGUUGUCAUUUUAAUUAGUGACGAAUAGUUGUGUCAAUCAUCAAACAUGCUUGUAUAAUUGGAUGAGAAGAGGUGUAACACGGGCCAAUGAUGACGAGGUUUCGGGAUUAUAAGUCACGGACGAUGACUACGUCACUAGAGGUCUGAGGUCCAUAGCAGAAGAUGCCUCAUGUGACCCUCUCAUGCAGGGGUUGCAUGUCAGGCAUGUGCAUACAGUAGAUAUUAGCCAUGCACUCUCACCAUUUCAUAGUAGAUCACAGAAUCAAGAUACAAAUCUCCAUGCACGGAAAGGAUUUAAGGCAUUGAUCAAUCCUGAACAUAAAUAUUUGGCCAUCAAUGAUAUUUACGCACACACUGAAAAAUCUAUUCAGAAUGACUUACACAAAGGUUUAUAUAACCUUUAUCAAAGGUAAUUUAUAUAGUAAGAUUCAUGGCUGAAGUCUUCAUGAUGGUCAAGGCCUUAAUUUUUAAAAUUAUCAAUUUUUUUCUUUUCUUUUUUUUUAACUUGAAUUUUUUUUUAAUGAAAACUAUCAUGACAAUUUGUCUCUUAAAUGAAAGGAGAAAUGUAAAACUAAAUGGACAAAUAUCAACCUUUUUAUUAUCUUUGCUGUUGUGCCCUCCCUGGAUGGGUGCUGGCACAUGAUGUCUUGCCUGCUGGUCCGUGGUUGCACUCUCACCAUGUGGAUGGAGCUCGGCAGCUGAAAAUGCAUUCUUCCACCAAGAUGAUUUACACAGCCUAGCUGGAUCAGGAGCCCCCUAAUAAGCUGCUUCAGAUUGUAAUAUAGACACAGUAAUGUAUGCCUGCAGGAUGAGUCCCACCUUCUUCAUUAGUCUUGAGGUUUGAGAUUCCCUGUUUGUGUCUGCAGGAUUCAGAUAGUGUGAGUAUAGUCUGUGUUCUUGUGUUGGAAUUCUUUUGCUUGCAUAAAAACAGGGUAGAAAAUAUUUCUGGGGCUGGUGAGAUGGCUCAGAGGUUGAGAGCACUGACUGUUCUCCCUGAUGUCCUGAGUUCAAUUCCCAGCAACCCCAUGGUGGCUCACAACCAUCUGUAAGGGCUCUGAUGCACUCUUCUGGUGUGUCUGAUGACAGCAGCAGUGUACUCCUGUUCCUAAAAUAAAUAAUUAUUUUAAAUACAUUAUUAUCUCUGAAGAGCAGAUGUAGCCAUAGGCAUAUAAGAUGUAUAUGAAGCACAAUGUUUAAUAAAAUUUUACCAAAUUAAGAUUGUGCAACAAUAGAGAUAGGCAUCAGUGCAGAAGAUCCCGUAGAGGUUUAACUGCACUCACGGAUCUUAUAGUUAGGGCUUGUCUCCAGUGGAGAUUUUCGCAAUGGUCCUAGUCAUCCAUUGCUCAAUAAUUUUACAUAGAUUAGUAGGGAAGAGGAGGACUGAUGUUGGAUCAAUGAUGAAUGUCUGUGAGCAUUCUUAGAGUCAUGAAUCAUGACGACAAAUUUAAUUCUGAGAUCAACAUCAUAAAGUAUCCAGUGACAGCUAUAAGAAGUAGUCUUCUUUUAUAAGUCAGUAAAUGUAAAUAAAAAUUGACUAGGAAGUCAUUUAAUCAAAAGGCAGCUCACAAAGAAGACUACAUAUAUGUAUAUAUGUAUAUAUGUAAGAAGAAAGUGUGACAGAGUAAUGACCAUGGAGGUGAGGGAUAAGAUGAAAUGAGCAGAAGCAGGCAGAAUACAUAGAUAAGCGAACGGAACAUCAAUCUCUUUAUAACCUCUUCUGUCUAUACUUCAAGAAUGGAUAUCCUGCAAGUCGGCUUCGUAGAGUCUCCCUUGAAAGUGGACCUCAUGAUCUAGCCUUUAUGUCCGUGGAUUGACACUGUGAUGGAUUCCCCCCAAGUUCAUUUAGAUAUUCUCUCUUAUUCAUAAAUGUCACGGUCAGCUCUGUUCUUAUAGAUACCAGAAUGGAUACCCCUAAGCUGAUGUAUAUACACCCUUCCUCGGUUGUGAGAUUCCUGCUCUGGUGGUUGUAGUCAUAAGAUAUACAUCGUUGCGUACACCUUGGUUGUGGGCACGCACACUACUGUUGAAUUACCACCUUGUCCAAGUGGAUGGAUGCCCUCAAUGGGAUUGGCACUUUCUCCAUUGCUCCUGCACUCUGUUAUCAGCACUUCGGGUUCAUAAUGUACACACAGCAAUGGAUUUUCUGCAGCUGAUUUUCUAUAUUCUGUUUUCUUCGGAACAGAUGCCUUCCUCACUGGUCACCAGGUUCAAGGUCCCUCAUAUGUGUCAGGUGCAUAGUCACCAACAAAGGCCAACUUCACAUCAAUGGGUGGAUCGUACCUCGGCCUAAGCUCCAGGAUUGAUUGUGCUGUUAGAGUCACAGCUACAACCGGCUCAGGGAACCCAGUGGAAGAGGAGGUGGAGUGUGAGAGCCAAUUGGAAUGGAAGACAGUGAGGAAACAAGGCCUUCGAGACACAAGAGGACUGCUGAGCUCACAAAGACUGAGGCAGCACCCUCAGGACCUGCACAGGUCUAAGCUUGAUGCGAUCUGAGUACUGAGAGGGCAACUGGACACAAUUCUAUAUUGAUAACCCAGAAGCUUUCUCCAGUUGAUAAACUCUUUCAAAGGAAAAACUUGUUUUCUACCAUGGAGUGACACUGGAUAUAGAAACUACCGUUAACAGCAGACUCCAUGGCUCAGACUUCCAAUACAAUAUGAACUCAGUUGCAAUUUUUUGCAAGGUUUUUCGACUCAUAGUUCUUUGUCUGGGUACUUUUUCACCCUACAGAGAAUUUCUGUAUAUAUUAUCGUUUCUGAUUCUAGUGUUUUGAAUUUUCGCUGGGUCUAAAUAUCUCUGUCUCAGUGUCAGUAUGUGUUUCUCAUGAUUUUUCUUUGCUUCUCUUUUUCCUAUUCUUUGCUUGUAUUCCCUGGUUUGUGUUUGAGUGUCUGGGAACUCUGAGGGUCUGGUUGGUGAUAUUGUUGUUCUUCCUAUGGGGUUGAAAACCCCUUCAGCUCCUUCAGCCUUUCACUAAGUCCUCCAUUAUUAUGAUUCCUAUGCUCAGUCCAGUGGUUGGAUGUGAGCCCCCCCCCCCCUCUGCAUUUGUCAGGCUCCGGCAGAGCCUCUAAGGAGAUAGCUAUAUUAGGCUCUUGUCAGCUUUGUUUGUUUUUAUUCUGUCUUCUCUAUACUGUUUAUUUUAGAUAACUGUGUUUAUUCUAAUGUAUGAAUGAAUAAAUGGGUGUGUGUUUGGGUGGGUGGGGAAUUGGGGAGGGUGGGGGUGGAUGUGGGAGGGGAAACUGUAACACAAAUACAUUGUAUAAAAGUACAUUUUAAUAAAUGUAUUUCUUCUAUGACUAAAAAAA
rnacentral:lncRNA from 1 species